rnacentral:rRNA from 1 species
UACGUAGGGUGCGAGCGUUGUCCGGAAUUAUUGGGCGUAAAGGGCUCGUAGGCGGUCUGUCGCGUCGAAAGUGAAAACUCAGGGCUUAACCCUGAGCCUGCUUCCGAUACGGGCAGACUAGAGGUAUGCAGGGGAGAACGGAAUUCCUGGUGUAGCGGUGAAAUGCGCAGAUAUCAGGAGGAACACCGGUGGCGAAGGCGGCCAACUGGACGAUGACUGACGCUGAGACACGAAAGCGUGGGGAUCAAACAGG